rnacentral:rRNA from 1 species
UCUUYAAAACAUGUCUUCUUGAUUUUAAUUUUAAGUCGUCUCUGCCCAAUGAUUAAUUUAAAUGGCCGCAGUAUUUUGACUGUGCAAAGGUAGCAUAAUCAAUAGUUUUUUAAUUGAAAGCUGGUAUGAAGGAGUUAAUAAAAUAUAAACUUUAUUUAAAUAAAAUUUUUAAAUUUAAAAUUUAAGUAAAAAUUCUUAAAUAAAUUUAUGGGACGAGAAGACCCUAUAGAAUUUUAUAUUUAAAUUAGUAUAAAGUAUAGUUUUUAAUUUUUUAUUAAUUUAAAUAUUUUAUUGGGAGGAUAAUUAAAUUUAUUUAACUUUAAUAUUUUUAUUAACAAUAAUUAUUGAAUUUAAGAUUUUAUUAUUUUAAUUAAUAGAUUAAAUUACCUUAGGGAUAACAGCGUAAUAUUUUUGGAGAGUUCUUAUUGAUAAAAAUGUUUGCGACCUCGAUGUUGAAUAAGAUKU